AUGGCCGCCAACUUCUGGGCGUCGUCGCACUCCAAGCAGCUUCUGGACCCGGAGGACGUGGACCUGGUGCCGGCGGCGGACCGGGAGCGCGGCAUCACGACGGAGGAGUUCCGCCUCGUCAAGAUCCACAUGUCCUCCCAUAUAUGGCGGUUGGCGCAGCAGGUGAAAGUUAGACAAAGAGUCAUAGCUACUGCCAUCACUUACUUCAGGCGUGUCUAUACAAGAAAGAGCAUGAGUGAGUAUGACCCUCGUUUGGUAGCCCCAGCUUGUUUAUAUUUAGCAUCGAAGGUAGAGGAGAGCACAGUGCAAGCAAGGCUUCUCGUCUUCUACAUAAAAAAGAUGUGUGCAGGUUCUGAUGAUAAGUACCGAUUUGAAAUUAAGGAUAUUCUUGAAAUGGAAAUGAAGCUCCUGGAAGCGCUUGACUAUUACUUAGUUGUUUACCAUCCCUAUCGUCCUCUUUUACAUUUAUUGCAGGAUGCUGGCGUAACAGACCUGACACAGUUUGCCUGGGGCCUUGUCAAUGAUACUUACAAAAUGGACCUUAUUCUCGUACAGCCUCCCUAUAUGAUUGCAUUGGCUUGUAUAUACAUUGCCAGUGUUCUUAAAGAUAAGGAUACAACUUCAUGGUUUGAAGAACUUCAUGUUGAUAUGAACAUUGUGAAGAAUAUUUCAAUGGAAAUGCUGGACUUCUACGAAACCUACAAGGUUGACCCCCAAAGGGGGCUCUCUGACGAAAAGAUCAGCCCCAUAAUGAACAAGCUGCCAGCAAAGGCCUAA
rnacentral:rRNA from 1 species